CAUUAGCCACGGUAAUACGUAGGUGGCAAGCGUUGUCCGGAAUUAUUGGGCGUAAAGGGCUCGCGGCGGUUUCUUAAGUCUGAUGUGAAAGCCCCCGGCUCAACCGGGGAGGGUCAUUGGAAACUGGGAAACUUGAGUGCAGAAGAGGAGAGUGGAAUUCCACGUGUAGCGGUGAAAUGCGUGGAGAUGUGGAGGAACACCAGUGGCGGAGGCGACUCUCUGGUCUGUAACUGACGCUGAGGAGCGAAAGCGUGGGGAGCGAACAGGAUUAGAUACCCCAGUAGUCCCUGUCUCUUAUACA
rnacentral:rRNA from 1 species